rnacentral:rRNA from 1 species
AUUGAACGCUGGCGGCAUGCCUUACACAUGCAAGUCGAACGGUAACAGGUCUUCGGAUGCUGACGAGUGGCGAACGGGUGAGUAAUACAUCGGAACGUGCCCGAUCGUGGGGGAUAACUACUCGAAAGAGUAGCUAAUACCGCAUACGACCUACGUAUGAAAGCGGGGGAUCUUCGGACCACGUUCGGACGGAGCGGCCGAUGGCAGGUUAGGUAGUUGGUGGGAUAAAAGCUUACCAAGCCGACGAUCUGUAGCUGGUCUGAGAGGAUGACCAGCCACACUGGGACUAGAAGACGGCCCAGACUCCUACGGGAGGCAGCAGUGGGGAAUUGUGGACAAUGGGAGAAAGCCUGAUCCAGCAAUGCCGCGUGGAGGAUGAAGGCCUUCGGGUUGUAAAGUGCUUUUGUACGGGACGAAAAGACGCCUUCUAAUACAGGGGGUACAUGACGGUACCGUAAGAAUAAGCACCGGCUAACUACGUGCCAGCAGCCGCAGUAAAAC